GGGCCCCGCACAAGCAGCGGAGCGUGUGGUUUAAUUCGAUGUUACACGAAGAACCUUACCAGGGUUUGACAUGCAAGUGGUAGGAAGCCGAAAGGUGACCGACCCUUCGGGGAGCUUGCACAGGUGCUGCAUGGCUGUCGUCAGCUCGUGUCGUGAGAUGUUCGGUUAAGUCCGCUAACGAGCGCAACCCUCGCUGUGUGUUAUAUGUGUCACACGGGACUGCCGGUCUUAAGCCGGAGGAAGGUGGGGAUGAUGUCAAGUCAGCAUGGCCUUUAUAUCCUGGGCUACACACACGCUACAAUGGCCAACACAAUAGGUUGCUAAGCCGCGAGGUGGCGCCAAUCCAUAAAGUUGGUCUCAGUUCAGAUUGUAGGCUGCAACCCGCCUGCAUGAAGAUGGAGUUGCUAGUAACCGCAGGUCAGCUAUACUGCGGUGAAUACGUUCCCGGGGCUU
rnacentral:rRNA from 1 species